UUAAAAAAGAAUGAGGUGUAUUUUUUCAACUUAAAUUAUACUUGGUCAGUGAAGGAUAGGAUUCAAUGAACUUUAUACUGAAGAAAGUAUUAUUAUUUAUCCAAAUAAAAAGACGAGAUCAAUUAACAAUUAACGAUUUGUAUAUAUAUUGUUGCACUGAAACGUCAAACAGCUUGAAAAAUCACAGCAGUAUACAAAUAAACUUGGAUCUCUGUUAUACAAAAGUAUUGGAAACACUGUAUUGCCUACACCACAGCCAAUUUCUAAAAUUUUAUGUCCAGUUUUACUAGUAUCAACUGCUAGCUCUGGAAAUUCUGUAAACAACCAAUGCCUGUCCUUGAAAAAUCUGCAAUGUUAUAAAUCAUCGUAGAUACAAUAGGACUUGCAGAUCAACGACCUAGGAGACAGAUAUAGGUUGAGGGCGCACGGUAUGCGGAAACAGGAUGGGUGUGACGCAGAGGGUGCAGGUUGAGGGUGGUAUAUUGCGUCAUUGGGUGAUUGGAAACACGAGGAUAAAAUCGUUGUACAAGAUUGUUCAGUAUAGAAGAGAAAGACAAUGAGGAGCUAAUUCAUAGUCUACAUUUAUUUAAAUGAUAAAGAUCAAUAUAUGGUUACUGCUGAAUAUAAGUAACCUUUUAAUAUCUUCACUACAAAUAAUCAGUUGGAGAUUCGUCCCUCAUAGAUCACUUGUUUUUUAUAAAAUAAACGAUUUCCAAUUUCAUGAGCAGGUCAGGAGAGAAAGGUGGAAGUAUAAGAUUAACUGUAACCGUUUAAGAAGAACAUUUUAUUACCUUAAAGAUAUUAAAUACACAAGUCCCUUUUCACGAGAAUACGUUGCUAAGGGCUACAAGUUUCUUCUUCCGUUACUGCACGGUGCUUCAUGGCUCAUCGUGGGUGGCUACCGUGAUGUCCUAAUCCCACCAAGUCCCUAGGGUACUUGCUGAAGGAUUUGCAGAAAAUGAAAGGGGUUGCGCAGACAAAGCGGUAGGAAAGCAUGUGCACAGGACAUCAAGGAACAAAAGGACGAAGACAAAGAUCAGAACUUAGGGAGAGAAGAGGAGGAAUAUUUUUUUUACAUAGAACUUCUCAUGCAUAACUUGGAUCUCAACGUUUCAGAGGUAAAGCGUGAAUCAGCCAAUUUGUCUGCGAGGAUGAAACCUUACGAAAGCAUCGCGCUUUUGGAGGAAAGUGGUCGAUAUCUGCCCAGUAUACCGAGGUACCUCACCCUCAUUCCAGGCAUGGUGGAACCCCCAAAGAUCGUUCGAGCAAUGACCUCGAGAUUAUAUAUUCUGCCUGUAUAGGGUGGUACAGGGUUAUUCCCCUUGAAUUCGUUCACGGAACUGUUUUCUCCUACACAUUGCAAUGAUCUCAGAUUUUCUUCAAGUACUACGACGAUCGUUAACAUUAUAUUUAACCACGUCUACAGAAAUUCUGUUUGUAAAUCAUGGGGUCAAUUGUGUACCAAUAUAACAUACAUUUGGGGUGAAGAUAGAAGGGAGUGAGGAUUAAAUGGGAUCAGGUGUCACGCGUUUCCAUGGCUUUAUCGAGGGAAGUUAUUCUUUCAUUAACCGGUCUAUAUUUAUAACAAUUAGCGGUCAGCGGUGCGAAGGAUCGAUACGUUCGUUACGUGACGCUUUAUCAAUGGAAAGGACCUCGAAGGGAGGUGUUGGAAAAAAAGUGGAAUCUAGGGGAAAGAUGUACGGUAUCGAAAUAACACCAAUUCGAAUUUUACAGCAUGCGUGCGAAAUAGACGCGUAGAUACCGGCCGCUCGUAUCUAUUUAUAACGGCGACGGAUCGCGGGGCAAUUGACCGCGUGGCCUUGACUUCCUGUUGACCCGACUGCCCCUAGGGAAUUUUGGCGUACCUCAUGGAAUUUCUUACCGCGAUAUUCAACGGUCCCUUCUAAUCAAUUUUCUUUCCCUUACCCACGCGCCCCCGUAAGCUUUCGAACAAGAGAAAUGUGAAUAUAAAAUGUUGUAGCGUAAUUACACGGACAGCCAUAUUUGAAAUGUUUGAUAUAGUUUUGCAAUUAGUCAGAAUUUAUCCUAUCACUCUGCUGUCUCGAUAAAUAACACUGGAACGCUGUCUGCGACACGUUCGAUGAUUUUUAAUCAACGUCAACGGAGUCUUUGAAAAAUAUCACUUUCGAUAUCACGAUCAACCUGGCAUAUUUAUGGCAGCCGUUUAUAAUCCGUAGUAAAAUUGAUAUCAUAGAUGUAUAAUUCUUUUGAUGAUUCAUGCUUACGGUUGCGUUAAAUUUAAACAAAAUUUUCUUCCCUGUAUGUGCAUAGUUCCAUAGAUAAGUAGAUUUUCUCAAAUAUCUCUGGAACUAUUUGUUAUAGGAAAAAAUGGUAAAUACAUAAUUUGUGGAUUUUCGAAUGACAAAUUAGCCAGUGUACUCGGAUUUUUGAAAAAGUAUUUUAUUUCCAUGAUAAUACAAUGUUUGCAAAGUACAUUGGACAGCGUCUCGCGUUGAAAGUUUCAGGGCUGAUUUUCUUUCUUCCCUUACCGAAAUCCGGGCGUAUCGGUUCUCCGCGAAUAACUUUGUUUAGCUUACUCGGCUCA